AUGUUCUUUCACCCUAACAUUGCUCUUCUAUUCAGGUCUGUCAGUGGAAAUAGCGUGCAAGACCAUAUCCACUAUCUUGGCAUCAGCAUGCAUUCCGAGUCGCGGGGAUCAUGCAGGAUCGUCACGGAUGACAAUAUGCUCAGGUACAAAGUUGGCACUGUAGACGGCGCUAUUGUCUUCUCGAAGCAGCCUGGUUUAUCAGUUGAUCAGCUACUCAGUGCACAGUAA
rnacentral:rRNA from 1 species